CCGGAGCAUGCAAACUCCGCACGGAGAGGCCCCGGCCGACCGGGAUUCGAACCCAGGACCUCUUUGCUGUGAGGCGGCAGUGCUACCCACUGCACCAUCCGUGCCACCAAGUGGAAGAAUAUUUUGCCCAAUUAUUUUUGUUAAGACUAGUAGCUUGAGGUAGUUUGAAGAUGAACGCCAUGGCCUGUGUAUAAUAUAUAUACUGAUUAUGUCACUAUAGUACACUAACACUACUACUACCUCUUUACAGAACCAGAGGAAGGCUCAGAUGUUGCAGUCAUCAGUUCUCUGGUUGUAGUGCUGGUUCUGGUUCUUGUCUUUACCAUCCUUUUAUUUGUCAUCUAUAAGAGGAGACGCAGAGUCACUUUGUAGUUUCCUUGACCUCCCUGGGAAUUGACUCUGCAUCAUGGCUGCUUGCUAAAGUUUCAGAGUCAGAAGACACAGCUUCAUGCUCCUCUAUCUUCACGCCACAAGUGCAGGCUAUUAUCUGUGCAUCAACAUAUAGCCUACAUAUACAGAGAGAGAGACAGCCGUCCAGCCAAAUGGAGGAACCGGGCAAGAAGGACUUUCAUCAGGGAGGUUACCAAGAACCCAGCGGCCACUCUUUGUAAGUCCUCUGCAGAGAUGGGAGAACCUGCUGGAAGGACAACCAUCUAAGCAGCACGCCAAGCCUUUAUGAUAGAGAGACGUCUAUCCUGUCAUCUCCUGUGCCAUAUUCCUGCGGUGUUCUUUCUGGUGUGAUGAGGUUAAAGGUGAGAAUCGUCUUAAGAGCUGCACUUGAAGUCAUGUGGGAGGAGCUUCAGGUGUGGGCAAACCUAACUGUAGGCAGACCCCUUCUGACAAACUGGUCCAUUCCAGUCCAAGUCCAAGUGGAGGCUUUGCACUGUGGUGAGUUGCAAAACUGUCAAAAGAUAAUAUAUUCUCUCAAUAUUUAAUUAGAUAAGGUUCUUUCAGAUUAAGUUUGAAAAUAUUUACUGGAGUAUACAUGUGAAAGUGAAAGUGCGAAGCUGUUGUGGUAUUUCUUAUGGGCUUGUUUUAUCCUCAACAUUCCUGACUCUUAGUAGUUAUAUUUGAGUAUUGCUAUAGUCCUCUGUAUGUCUUUAAGAGGCAGAUUUAUUGAUUGGAGUACAUUGGGAUAACCUAUAAUCAAGUGUGUGUGCGAACGAAUGAUUCAGAGAUGAGGCUGGCCAAGAAACAGCUGAGCAGCCAAGUGUCCAAUUACUUGUUCCCCUAAAAUGUGGGAAAUAUGAAUAAAAGAACUGUAAUUCUUACACACAUGGCCUGAUAUGGAUUGAGAUACCUUCAGAGCUGACUGUUUUAAAUGUAAAUUAUUUUUCUGAAUGCCUUUUCUGGAUUUUAAAAUAGCCGUUUCUUUCAUUUUGUGUUUUAACGGUACUGAUGCUUAAACUGUUUCAGGCUGAUGUGAAUAACUUUUGGAUAAAUAACGAUUUAUCCAAAAGAAUCAUGAAAACGCAUAUUCAAAGAGGACCUCAUCUUGUUAUGCUCACAAUUUUAACCAUCAUACCAAAAAACACGGUCGGAUCCCAAGAACUAUGGCGAGUUUCUGCCACGUCUUUUGUAAAUUGUGUGUGAUUCAGAGGUACUCCAUGGUACUGGGGCUUGUGAAAAUGGACACCAGUCUCCUUCAUCAGCCUGGCUCAUUUCUGACAUUUGCACAUUUGCUAAUUGUGAUGGGUAGUACCUUGGGACUAAUCUGUAAUAUUGAUAAUGGCUAUAAUGAGAUGAAUGAUAUUGGAUUGUAAAGUAAUCCCUAGCAAUCUGUAUUUUGAUACUUGAAUGAUUCUGCUUUUAUAAAUAUAUUUAUGUAUAUGGAUGUAUGUAAGUAAUGUUUCAUUUUUUUCUUUGUCCACGUUUGUGGUAAAUGGCAGGCAUUUAUAUAGCGCCUUUAUCCAAAUCGCUGUACAAUUGAUGCUUCUCCAUUCACCCAUUCAUACACACACUCACACACCGACGGCGAUUGGCUGCCAUGCAAGGCCCCGACCAGCUCGUCAGGAGCAAUUGGGGGUUAGGUGUCUUGCUCAGGGACACUGUGACACAGCCCGGGAGGGGGAGCGAACCAGCAACCCUCCGACUGCCAGACGACUGCUCUUACUGCCUGAGCCAUGUCGCCCCUUCUUUUUUUGUGGGAAAAAGAGAUCUGGCGAGUGUUUGAAAAGCUUCACAGAUCAAGGGUACUCAUCCCUGACCUGUCUUGGGGGUGAAAGCUGAACUGGAUUAUUAUUUUU